CCUACGGGAGUCUGCAGUGAGGAAUAUUGGUCAAUGGACGAGAGUCUGAACCAGCCAAGUAGCGUGAAGGAUGACUGCCCUAUGGGUUGUAAACUUCUUUUAUAUGGGAAUAAAAUGUUCCACGUGUGGGUUUUUGUAUGUACCAUAUGAAUAAGGAUCGGCUAACUCCGUUCCAGCAGCCGCGGUAAUACGGAGGAUCCGAGCGUUAUCCGGAUUUAUUGUGUUUAAAGGGAACGUAGGUGGAUUGUUAAGUCAGUUGUGAAAGUUUGCGGCUCAACCGUAAAAUUGCAGUUGAAACUGGCAGUCUUGAGUACAGUAGAGGUGGGCGGAAGUCGUGGUGGAGCGGUGAAGUGCUUAGAUAUCACGAAGAACUCCGAUUGCGAAGGCAGCUCACUGGACUGCAACUGACACUGAGGCUCGAAAGUGUGGGUAUCAAACAGGAGUAGAUACCCCGGUAGUC
rnacentral:rRNA from 1 species